ensembl:lncRNA
AGAGAACAGGCACAGAGAUCCUGAGAGUGACACACAGGGAACUGUAGAGGACGGUGGGGCAGUAAAGAGAACAGGCACAGAGAUCCUGGGAGUGACACACAGGGAACUGUAGAGGACGGUGGGCAGUAAAGAGAACAGGCACAGAGAUCCUGAGAGUGACACACAGGGAACUGUAGAGGACGGUGGGGCAGUAGAGAGAACAGGCACAGAGAGAUCCUGAGAGUGACACACAGGGAACUGUAGAGGACGGUGGGGCAGUAGAGAGAACAGGCACAGAGAUCCUGAGAGUGACACACAGGGAACUGUAGAGGAUGGAGGGGCAGUAGAGAGAACAGGCACAGAGAUCCUGAGAGUGACACACAGGGAACUGUAGAGGACGGUGGGGCAGUAGAGAGAACAGGCACAGAGAGAUCCUGAGAGUGACACACAGGGAACUGUAGAGGACGGUGGGCAGUAAAGAGAACAGGCACAGAGAUCCUGAGAGUGACACACAGGGAACUGUAGAGGACGGUGGGCAGUAGAGAGAACAGGCACAGAGAUCCUGAGAGUGACACACAGGGAACUGUAGAGGACGGUGGGGCAGUAGAGAGAACAGGCACAGAGAGAUCCUGAGAGUGACACACAGGGAACUGUAGAGGACGGUGGGGCAGUAGAGAGAACAGGCACAGAGAUCCUGAGAGUGACACACAGGGAACUGUAGAGGACGGUGGGGCAGUAAAGAGAACAGGCACAGAGAUCCUGAGAGUGACACACAGGGAACUGUAGAGGACGGUGGGCAGUAAAGAGAACAGGCACAGAGAUCCUGAGAGUGACACACAGGGAACUGUAGAGGACGGUGGGCAGUAAAGAGAACAGGCACAGAGAUCCUGAGAGUGACACACAGGGAACUGUAGAGGACGGUGGGGCAGUAGAGAGAACAGGCACAGAGAGAUCCUGAGAGUGACACACAGGGAACUGUAGAGGACGGUGGGGCAGUAGAGAGAACAGGCACAGAGAUCCUGAGAGUGACACACAGGGAACUGUAGAGGAUGGAGGGGCAGUAGAGAGAACAGGCACAGAGAUCCUGAGAGUGACACACAGGGAACUGUAGAGGACGGUGGGGCAGUAGAGAGAACAGGCACAGAGAGAUCCUGAGAGUGACACACAGGGAACUGUAGAGGACGGUGGGCAGUAAAGAGAACAGGCACAGAGAUCCUGAGAGUGACACACAGGGAACUGUAGAGGACGGUGGGCAGUAGAGAGAACAGGCACAGAGAUCCUGAGAGUGACACACAGGGAACUGUAGAGGACGGUGGGGCAGUAGAGAGAACAGGCACAGAGAGCUCCUGAGAGUGACACACAGGGAACUGUAGAGGACGGUGGGGCAGUAGAGAGAACAGGCACAGAGAGAUCCUGAGAGUGACACACAGGGAACUAUAGAGGACGGUGGGGCAGUAGAGAGACCCAAGGCUGAAAGAAGGGAACGUGUUGAUGAAGGUGCUGCUAUAGCAGACGCUAUAAUGGAAGAAGCACACACUGAGGAUGUUCAGGAGCCUCCAGACAAUCUGAGGCGCUACCCAGAACGAAGGCACCGUCCACCAGACAGACUAGACUUAUAAACAAACAAACAAAAAUGAACUGUUCAAGUUCAAAUUAAAAAAUGCAAAAUAACUACAACAAGUUCUGGGAAAUGUUUCAGUUGUGGUUUGGUAAAAGUAACUCUGAUUGUAUAAGAGAAUGAAUGUUAUGUUCUGUUAAUUACUGAUGUCCCCUUUAAGGAUGGAGCAGCCUUGGUCAUGCGCAGUAUUGUUCUAUGUUAUUCUGGUACUAACUAGUUUGAGUAAAUGUGAAGCUCCAGUUCAA